rnacentral:rRNA from 1 species
CUACCGCUGGCGGCAGGCCUAACACAUGCACAUCGAACGGAUCCUUCGGGAUUAGUGGCGGACGGGUGAGUAACACGUGGGAACGUGCCCUUUGGUUCGGAACAACUCAGGGAAACUUGAGCUAAUACCGGAUGUGCCCUUCGGGGGAAAGAUUUAUCGCCAUUGGAGCGGCCCGCGUCUGAUUAGCUAGUUGGUGAGGUAACGGCCCACCAAGGCGACGAUCAGUAGCUGGUCUGAGAGGAUGAUCAGCCACACUGGGACUGAGACACGGCCCAGACUCCUACGGGAGGCAGCAGUGGGGAAUCUUGCGCAAUGGGCGAAAGCCUGACGCAGCCAUGCCGCGUGAAUGAUGAAGGUCUUAGGAUUGUAAAAUUCUUUCAGCGGGGACGAUAAUGACGGUACCCGCAGAAGAAGCGCCGGCUAACUUCGUG